UAGUCAUACGCUCGUCUCAAAGAUUAAGCCAUGCAUGUGUAAGUAUAAAUAAUUCUACUUUGAAACUGCGAAUGGCUCAUUAUAUCAGUUAUAGUUUAUUAGAAAAAAUGUACUACUUGGAUAACCGUAGUAAUUCUAGGGCUAAUACAUGAGUAAAUCCUCGACUUUGAAGAGGUGUGUUUAUUAGUAUGAAAACCAUAUGCUUCGGCAUGAUAGUGAGUAAUAAUAACCUUUCAUAUCGUAUGUUGAAAUAACGAUAGUUCUUUCAAGUUUCUGC
rnacentral:rRNA from 1 species